rnacentral:rRNA from 1 species
UAUAUCGUGAAACUGCGAAUGGCUCAUUAAAUCAGUUAUCGUUUAUUUGAUAGUACCUUACUACUUGGAUAACCGUGGUAAUUCUAGAGCUAAUACAUGCUAAAAACCUCGACUUCGGAAGGGGUGUAUUUAUUAGAUAAAAAACCAAUGCCCUUCGGGGCUCCCUGGUGAUUCAUAAUAACUUAACGAAUCGCAUGGCCUUGUGCCGGCGAUGGUUCAUUCAAAUUUCUGCCCUAUCAACUUUCGAUUGUUGGGUCUUGGCCAACAAUGGUUUCAACGGGUAACGGGGAAUUAGGGUUCUAUUCCGGAGAGGGAGCCUGAGAAACGGCUACCACAUCCAAGGAAGGCAGCAGGCGCGCAAAUUACCCAAUCCUGAUACAGGGAGGUAGUGACAAUAAAUACUGAUACAGGGCUCUUUUGGGUCUUGUAAUUGGAAUGAGUACAAUUUAAAUCCCUUAACGAGGAACAAUUGGAGGGCAAGUCUGGUGCCAGCAGCCGCGGUAAUUCCAGCUCCAAUAGCGUAUAUUAAAGUUGUUGCAGUUAAAAAGCUCGUAGUUGAACCUUGGGCCUGGCUGGCCGGUCCGCCUCACCGCGUGCACUGGUCCGGCCGGGCCUUUCCUCCUGGGGAGCCGCAUGUCCUUCACUGGGUGUGUCGGGGAACCAGGACUUUUACUUUGAAAAAAUUAGAGUGUUCAAAGCAGGCCUAUGCUCGAAUACAUUAGCAUGGAAUAAUAGAAUAGGACGUGUGGUUCUAUUUUGUUGGUUUCUAGGACCGCCGUAAUGAUUAAUAGGGACAGUUGGGGGCAUCAGUAUUUAAUUGUCAGAGGUGAAAUUCUUGGAUUUAUUAAAGACUAACUACUGCGAAAGCAUUUGCCAAAGAUGUUUUCAUUAAUCAGUGAACGAAAGUUAGGGGAUCGAAGACGAUCAGAUACCGUCGUAGUCUUAACCAUAAACUAUGCCGACUAGGGAUCGGGCGAUGUUAUCUUUUUGACUCGCUCGGCACCUUACGAGAAAUCAAAGUCUUUGGGUUCUGGGGG